AGCUCUCCGGGUAGUAGGGACGAUUAUUGGGCUUAAAGCGUCCGUAGCCGGCUUAGCAAGUCUCCUGUUAAAUUCAGCGACCUAAUCGUUGAGCCGCGGGAGAUACUACUGGGCUAGGAGGCGGGAGAGGCCGACGGUAUUCCCGGGGUAGGGGUGAAAUCCUAUAAUCCCGGGAGGACCACCAGUGGCGAAGGCUGUCGGCUAGAACGCGCUCGACGGUGAGGGACGAAAGCUGGGGGAGCGAACCGGAUUAGAGACC
rnacentral:rRNA from 1 species